AUUGAACGCUGGCGGCAUGCUUUACACAUGCAAGUCGAACGGUAACAGCACUUCGGUGGCUGACGAGUGGCGAACGGGUGAGUAAUACAUCGGAACGUGCCUAGGAGUGGGGGAUAACUACUCGAAAGAGUAGCUAAUACCGCAUGAGAUCUAAGGAUGAAAGCAGGGGACCUUCGGGCCUUGCGCUACUAGAGCGGCUGAUGGCAGAUUAGGUAGUUGGUGGGAUAAAAGCUUACCAAGCCGACGAUCUGUAGCUGGUCUGAGAGGACGACCAGCCACACUGGGACUGAGACACGGCCCAGACUCCUACGGGGGCAGCAGUGGGGAAUUUUGGACAAUGGGCGCAAGCCUGAUCCAGCAAUGCCGCGUGCAGGAUGAAGGCCUUCGGGUUGUAAACUGCUUUUGUACGGAACGAAAAGCCCUCUUCUAAUACAGGAGGGUCAUGACGGUACCGUAAGAAUAAGCACCGGCUAACUACGUG
rnacentral:rRNA from 1 species